UACGAAGGGGGCUAGCGUUGCUCGGAAUGACUGGGCGUAAAGGGCGCGUAGGCGGACGGCUUUGUCGGGCGUGAAAUUCCAGGGCUUAACCUUGGGUGUGCGUUCGAGACGGGUUGUCUUGAGUUUGGAAGAGGGUCGUGGAAUUCCCAGUGUAGAGGUGAAAUUCGUAGAUAUUGGGAAGAACACCGGUGGCGAAAGGCGGCGACCUGGU
rnacentral:rRNA from 1 species